rnacentral:rRNA from 1 species
ACGUAGGUCACAAGCGUUGUCCGGAAUUACUGGGUGUAAAGGGAGCGCAGGCGGGAAGAUAAGUUGGAAGUGAAAUCUAUGGGCUCAACCCAUAAACUGCUUUCAAAACUGUUUUUCUUGAGUAGUGCAGAGGUAGGCGGAAUUCCCGGUGUAGCGGUGGAAUGCGUAGAUAUCGGGAGGAACACCAGUGGCGAAGGCGGCCUACUGGGCACCAACUGACGCUGAGGCUCGAAAGUGUGGGUAGCAAACAG